rnacentral:rRNA from 1 species
CAAUGUUAAAACUAGUAACAUGAAGCAGCCCUUCUCCCUAAUGCAAGCAAAUACCAAAAUGGACUAACCAUUGGUUCUUAACGUCCAUGAGCUCAACCUAGCAACACUCCCUUCGAAAACCCUAUGCCCAAAUUACGUUAACCUUACACUAGAGCAUUCCUGGAAAGAUAAAAAGAAAAAGAAGGAACUCGGCAAACUAAAAUCCCGCCUGUUUACCAAAAACAUCGCCUCUUGACACAUACUCCCUCCUAUAAGAGGUCCAGCCUGCCCAGUGAAAUUUUAACGGCCGCGGUACUCUGACCGUGCGAAGGUAGCAUAAUCACUUGUUCUUUAAAUGAGGACUAGUAUCAACGGCAUCACGAGGAUUUUACUGUCUCCUUUUUCCUAUCGGUGAAACUGAUCUCCCCGUGAAGAAGCGGGGAUAAUAUUAUAAGACGAGAAGACCCCAUGGAGCUUUAAACCCAGUAACACCUCAAACACACCCCCUCCCAAAAAGUUUUAAUGUUCUGUUCACUGGUUUUAGGUUGGGGCGACCGCGGAGUACAACUUAACCUCCACAGCGCACGGAACUUAUUCCUUACCUGAGAGCUACACCUCAAAGAAUUAUCACAUUAACGUAAAAUGAUCCAAUAUUUUCCUUAUUGAUUAAUGAACCAAGUUACCCUGGGGAUAACAGCGCAAUCCAUUUCUAGAG